CCUACGGGUGGCUGCAGUAGGGAAUAUUGCUCAAUGGGGGAAACCCUGAAGCAGCAACGCCGCGUGGAGGAUGAAGGUUUUCGGAUUGUAAACCUCUUUUGAUAGGGAAGUUAAUGGCGGUACCUAACGAAUAAGCAACGGCUAACUUCGUUCCAGCAGCCGCGGUAAUACGUAGGGUGCAAGCGUUACCCGGAAUCACUGGGCGUAAAGAGCGCGUAGGCGGGAUAGCAAGUCAGUUGUGAAAUCCUAUGGCUUAACCAUAGAACUGCAUUUGAAACUGUUAUUCUAGAGUUCAGGAGAGGUAGGUGGAAUUCUUGGUGUAGGGGUGAAAUGCGUAGAUAUCAAGAGGAAUACUCAUUGCGAAGGCGGCCUACUGGAACGUAACUGACGCUGAUGCGCGAAAGCGUGGGGAGCAAACAGGAUUAGAUACCCUAGUAGUC
rnacentral:rRNA from 1 species